AGUGUGGCUGAUAUUCUACCGGCCACUGUGACAGAGCCAUGGAGGAGGAGACACGAGCCAAGCAAGGCAGGUCACUGCUAGAAGCUGGACAGGGCAAGGGGGUGAACUCUUACAGCCCUCAAGCUUCCUCAGAAGCCCAGAGCUGGGCUGCUGAGACAGUUCAGCAGCUCCUGGGCAGUGCUGACCCCGAUCUGGUGACCUCUGUGGAGAGUCCUCACAGAGGAAGCAAGCUCACCAGAGGAAGAGUGUGCCCUCCUGCGUGCAGGGGUUGACGUGUCCCAAGAAGCACAGAAACAUCGACCACGUUUGCCAUUGGCGCAUCUGAUCAAUGAAUAAAUGACACAAAGCACCAAGCC
ensembl:processed_transcript